GUUCUUAUAGUUGAGCUAUCAACGACGGUUUUUCAGACCGUAGGCCUUGGGUAGAUCCAAGUAGGAACCU
rnacentral:tRNA from 1 species